AUUCCCCAAAGCGGAGGAAAAGAAACCAACAGGGAUUGCCCUAGUAACGGCGAGUGAAGCGGCAACAGCUCAAAUUUGAAAUCUGGCUCUUUCAGAGUCCGAGUUGUAAUUUGCAGAGGGCGCUUUGGCUUUGGCAGCGGUCCAAGUUCCUUGGAACAGGACGUCACAGAGGGUGAGAAUCCCGUACGUGGUCGCUAGCUAUUGCCGUGUAAAGCCCCUUCGACGAGUCGAGUUGUUUGGGAAUGCAGCUCUAAAUGGGAGGUAAAUUUCUUCUAAAGCUAAAUAUUGGCCAGAGACCGAUAGCGCACAAGUAGAGUGAUCGAAAGAUGAAAAGCACUUUGGAAAGAGAGUCAAACAGCACGUGAAAUUGUUGAAAGGGAAGCGCUUGCAGCCAGACUUGCUUGCAGUUGCUCAUCCGGGCUUUUGCCCGGUGCACUCUUCUGCAGGCAGGCCAGCAUCAGUUUGGGCGGUGGGAUAAAGGUCUCUGUCAUGUACCUCUCUUCGGGGAGGCCUUAUAGGGGAGGCGACAUACCACCAGCCUAGACUGAGGUCCGCGCAUCUGCUAGGAUGCUGGCGUAAUGGCUGUAAGCGGCCCGUCUUAACACCGGG
rnacentral:rRNA from 1 species